rnacentral:rRNA from 1 species
GCGCGCGGCGGGCGGGGCGGGGGCACGGGGGGCCUACGGGAGGCAGCAGUGGGGAAUAUUGGACAAUGGGCGAAAGCCUGAUCCAGCCAUGCCGGGUGUGUGAAGAAGGUCUUCGGAUUGUAAAGCACUUUGAAUUGGGAGGAAGGGUUGUAACCGAAUAUCUGCAAUUUUGACGUUACC